rnacentral:lncRNA from 1 species
UUCAAUGGAGUUCGGAUUGACACCACUAGCAAGCUAGAUAAGUCGCUUCGAGACUCAAACGAAAGAAGAGAGGAGGUAACCUCACAAGAACAAAAGUUCUAUUAAGUUUAAUUGAUCAAAUUCUGUAACCUUUUUACAAAGAGAAAUGAACUAUUUAUAGAGUUCAGGUGAUAGCCGAAUAGUCAUACUAAACAAGCUUAAAGACUAAGUAAUUCGGCUUUAAAUGUGUAAAACUAAUCUAGAAAUGUAUCUUUAAAGGCUAUGUCCAAAUUCGGCUGAAUGGAACUUCAAUGGGCAGCUUCAUGGCUAAGGAAAUAAACUUGAAGGCUUGGUGAAUGUAUGGGAGAGCAAUGGACAUGUCUAGGUUCGGCCAAGGUGUGAAUGGACACUCCAAGAGAUACCUUUUGGCCGAAUAGGUACUUAGGAGAUCAAUGGACAGCAACCGAUGCAUGUAAGUGAAUAUUCAUGCAUUCUUCCAUUCAUUGUAUUAACUCAUUCAUGCAUCAUCCUUACGUUCAUUGAACCAGCCCAUUCAUGAAUCAUCUUUAAUUGUGUUCCCACAUCAUGCAUUGUAAGUAGACGUUCAUGCACCUAGCUUGAAUGAAUCUCCACAUUCGGCUGUACCUACAUGAAACAUGAACAAAUUAAUUAAAAAUAGAUAUAUUAAUUAACACAUAAAUUUAAAAUAGACAAAUUUAAUAAAGUCUUAAGCUAAACAUAUUAAAUUCGGCUAAGACAACUUUAAAAACAUGAAAUAAAUCAAAACA